AUGUUUUAGAGAGAAUGCCCCAAAAAUGGAAGGAAAAUGAUUGCGACAAAUGGUGGUCAUAAUUUAACCGACGAACGAUGAUCCUGUAAAAGCCUCAAAGCGAAAGAUUUGGACAGGAAAAUUCACUGGGAAUCAUCAUUUCGGAGCUCGGGUUAAUUGAGUUUGUCGAGACGGAUAGUGGUUUCUCAAGGGAAGAAGAAUUCGACAGGCGAAGAUGUUGAGCUUCACUGUUUGGUCAGUGGUGAGCUACGGCUAUGGCCAUCUCAUCUAGAGCUACCAACAUAUUCUGAGAUCCCACGUAUGUUGGAGAGGGGAAUGAAACAUUUUUUAUAAGGGUGUGAAACCUUUCCCUAGUAGGCGCGUUUUAAAAUCUUGAGGGAAAUCCUAGAAAGAAAAGCCAAAAUAGGACAAUAUAUGUUAAUGGUGGGCUUGAGUUGUUACACCUAGAAGUAGCAAAGUUUGAUAUCGAAAGGGACUAUUUUUUUAAAUGUUAAAAAUUAACCCAGAACGUCGAUUACUAUUCUCAGAUACUUUCUUUUGAGAAGGAUGUUAGAUACUAUUUGUUAUUAUUGUUUCCCUUUCGACAAAUUGUAGGAUAGAAUGGUUUUUGGCGGGCAUCUAUUGAAUAUGCUCUUAGAAAAUCAUUCACUACUAUGCUACCUUUUACUUCUAUCCCAUCUUUCCAUUUCCUAAUAUUUUGCCUAACUAAAAAAAUGAGAUAGAGAUAUAGAAGUUUGAACUU